CUUCUUUGAGAGUUACCACCAGAUUUUAAUCAUAAAUAUUAAUGUGUUUUAUUCAGCUAUCUAUGUAACCUUGGCAAGUCACUUUACCUCUCCGGGCCUCACUUUCCUCAUCUAUCAGUGUUGCUUCAUUGUCUUCUGACAUUGGAUGUUGCUGUGGAGAAGUCUGAAGCCAGGCUGAUUUUCUUACCACUUUGUAGCAUUUUUUACAAUAGCCAA